CAUUUAUGUAAAAUGCAUCGUGAUCCCAUCGUUGUUUUUUUUUUAAUUGACAGCCAUUUGCAAGCGAUGUCGUCUUUUGUUAAGUCCAACAGAGCAAAAACACUAUGAUGACGCAGAAAAAGAUGAUCGUGUUAGUGCUCUGUAUACUGCAAUGGAGAACCUAACUAUAACCACUGAAGUGUCAAGUACGUUUCACUUAGAACAGCCAUGCGCUGACGUUGGAUCUACAAUUGGUUCUAGUGAGGAGUUAAGCACAUGUUCCUCCUCUAUGAGAGAUUUAAGUCAAUAUAUCCCWCAGAACACAGACGAAAGUACAAGCAGUUCCACUGAGCAUAGGAGAUAGUAGUUACAGUUGAGACAUUAAAGUGCCGUUCACUAAAUCUGGAUAUUGACUUCUGUUUACAGUGUUGUAUCGGUUUCAUGGGACUGCAAAUCUUGUGAAAUAUCGCCUAUUAGACUAUUAUUUAAAGAACAUAACAAAAUGAUAAGAAAUAAAAAAUAGGGUAGGAAUUUCACUUCUGAGGUAUAUAGCUUGAAAACGUCAGUCUCAAAAGAAAUUUUUCAUUCAGCAUCGACGUCUCGGUAAUUAUUUUUUGGGAAUUAGAUUUUAGAUACAAUUCCAGUGAUGUCACGUAUACUAAAAUACAAUAAAGACUGUUUACUGAA